CCCUCAUUCGAAUCAUCGUUUGAUCACUAUAUUCAGCGACUUUAUUUAAAUCUAUUUGUCGCGAAUGUUAUCUUUUUGCCAUAUUUUCCUCUCUUUCAUUCGUAAAACACCGCGGACAAGGCGCUCUUUCACGCGACAUCACGCGAAAAAAUUUAAGACUAAGGUGAGAGGAAGUCCGAAGCAACGUUAAACGAGGAAGCAGUCUGAAUAGCGUGUCAUAGGAAAUCCAGCGAUGAAAGAAUAUAAUACCAGUUUUUUUCUGAUGGCAGCGAAGGAAGGAAGAAAGUGUGUGCGAGAUGAAAUGGCGACAGGAAGGAGCGCGAUUCUAGAGGAAGCGGAUGCGGAAGAGGGCAGACAAUUGUUUUAUUAUUUUCGUUAAACACAGGACUGACGGGAAGAAGAAAGAGGGGGCGGUUAUAAAUCGCAAGCUCGCGUAAAUACUCGGGAAGAGCACCGGUUCUUUGCGCCUUUCUGCUAAACGCGUCUUCGAAGAUUGUCUCGCCGUGACCUCUCCGUCCUUCUCGUAUUCCCUCGUUCUUUCGUUGUUCUCUCGCUCGUGCAACGCGUUGAUCCGUGAAUCCGAAAAGGUACCGAAGCGAUAUCGUCCGGGCCGGAGAAUCGACCGAGCAUUUUCUCUCACACCAUUCUGGUUAUCGUUGAAUGACCCGCUUUCUGGUUCGGUUUCUCUCCGCAAAUUUCUAAACCAAUAUUCACACCUAAAGGACAACCACCCCUAUAGAUAAUGAAAAGUGCCGAGGUUCUACACGAAUCGAUCGCUAAAACUCGGAUGUAUACGCACAAAUAAUUUUUAUAGAUUUUGCUUUCGAUUAUUUAAUUAAAAUCGUAUAAUUCUUAGUAUUUGAAAAGAGAGAAGCUAGGAAAAAAGCUUGAAAUCCACACGGGAUGACGACACGUUGAGUAAACAUGGCGUUCAACCGGCGACAGUUAUUGCGCUUUUGAAGCUGCCCUGGUGUUUGCGUUUUCUAUGGAAGCUGUGUCCGUGUUUCUUUCAGAUCUGACGGAGACCAUAUCGCAAACAAUGAGAACGAAAUAGGUGUCAAAUAGAUCACACCUAAGAAACUCAAAGUCGUCGGAAAGUAGCAGAACUUUGAUAAUGCGCAAAGAAGGUCGUGGAUGAAAUGUUCUCUAUGGUCUCGCUGGAACGUCAACUGGCAUUCGUAGAAUUUUUCGAAAUUCCUGCAAUCUCGUUAAAGAGAGAAGAAAGGGACGAAGAAGACAGACGAAACCAGAGAAAGAGAGAAAACUGGAAGAGCAUAGAGGAAGACGAUGGCAACUUUCUAUCGUGUAUGUUAGAGGAAAUUCGAGGUACGGAAAGUUCCUUAACUCGCGUCUAGAGGAAUGGCUGUCAACUUGCGAAACUUGUUCCGCGGAAUUACCUCGUAAGCCGCGACCAUUCGCGUACGAGCAGGGACCGAUGGGUUGGCUGGCGAGAAAUUUUCACGUCGACCAGGCCGAUAUGCACGCGCGCACCUCUAGAAUUUCCGAGGACGCGAGCAAUUCUCUCGAUCGAGAGGGGAUGGUCGCCACGCCGCGCCGAUCGGACGAUUCCCGGGAUUACGGCCUCGAAGCGCCUCGUCGUGCCGUGCCGUAGUGUGCCCUCCCGCUCACACAGACCAACCGUAAAGUUGCUUCCUCGAAACUUCAACCUGAGCCAACUACGCAACGAAGGAACUACGACGAUUUCCAAAUGGAUUGCCGGAGAAUCUAGAAUCCGUUGUUCAACGAAGUAACUACGCGAAUAAGACGGGCAAGGUUCGUGCGUAAUUUCCAAACGUGAUUCGAAAAGCUGAUUUAGUGUUUGAAUCGAUUUAGUGUUAUUUGUUCACGAUUAAAUGAGUAAGUUGGCACAAAAUGAAAUAAACCUUUCUAAUAGAUAGAGUAAACA